UUGUUUUUUCCAGUAUUCUUCUGUGAGUUUAGAGAUUUACUGCUAUAGCAGAAAUGCUAAGUCAUGGCUUGAAACAAUGAUUGAGUACCUGGUGGGAAAGCAGGGCCAACCCACAGAGCUCAGGUGCAUGCAAUAUGCCUGAGUGACCGGAAGGGGUGGAGCCAGGAUCCACCCCUUCCCAUAUCUCAUUUAAGGGUUGGCAGUGGAGAGAAGGCUAUUUUGCUGAAGAUCCUUGUGUACCUCAGGCCUUCUGAAGAGCUGACUGGAGAAAGGAAGAGGAUAAAUGGCAUAAAACUGGCCAACGUCAGAGGAUGUCCUACAUCAAGUUACAUUCCUAGGUUAUUUGUACUGCCUGAAAAGAGUAAAAAUCUCAUUAAAAGAGAAAAGGAGCAAGCUAUUAUUUUUCUGGAAUAUCCCAACAUAGGCUUAGUGCCAAGCAUGCUGGUGUUGAAGAGGAGAAGCUGUUCUACAGCUGUUCUCACCAUGAGGAAAAACAACUCAGAAAGAAGAAAUUAGAAUAUCAAAUCUUUCUCUUUGGCUUCUGCUUUGCCCCUUCCAGAAGGUGGUAACCAAUAACUCCCUCCUUCCCCCCUUGCUCUUCUCUACUCUGUAACCUCCACAUGCAGCAUCCAAACUAUGCCUACUUCAGAGAAGGCCUAGAAGAACUAAUUUGAAAUGAACUCUUUCAUCAUUCGCCAGAGCUUAACUGAAAGUUACAGGUUGUACACUUAUCGGUAAGAAUCCCAAAGUUUUCAUAUGGAUACAAAGAACUGAUAGAAUCUCACAUUAAAAUUUUCAUGAAUCAUAAUGCAGAAUCAAGUUUGGUACCAAUGACAGUGACAGCUGGAAAUCCAGAACUACUCUACUAAUUUUAGUGAAGCUAUUAUGGUUUAGCACCUGAGACUAUUUGACUAUGCCUUCUUAAAAAAGUCUCACAAGUCAGUGAUUAAGUCUCAAAAACACUGCUUUUACUCCAGAAUAAUUCCACUAGGUCACAUUCAAAAAUCUUACUAUGCUUCAGCCUUUAUGGAAGUCUGACUACAACAAGUAAAUCACAGCAGGAGGACUGUAAUUUAAAGGCAAAUGCAGGGGAUUGCUAGCAGAAGUGGUUGCACUUCAGUGAACUUCCAAGUGGCUAUUGCUGCUGUAUUAAUAGUGCAAAGACAACACAACACGUGCUGGUGAGUGACAAUUACACUGGAGACUCAAAAGAUGUCAAAAAAAAAUGGUAGCAGACUAUUUUUUUGCUGUGCAUUCAGUGGGACACCCCUGGCAGCUGGCCUGCUGAGAAGUCAUCUGAAUGAGAAAGCAGAUACACUUCCACAGAUCUCUUAGCCCACAGUCUCGACAAGUGCUACUCUUCUGAAAAAGGCAACAAAAACCCAUCCAAUGUUCACUGCAUCUGGGCUGGGUAACAAACAUAAGCAGCUAUUAAGGAAGGUUGAUGAGAUGGAAACCCAUGCAUCUAGAACUGGGGCAUGUUGCAGAAAGUCUAUAAAAGAACUGAAGCAGUGCACAGCAAUCCCAGGAAGCAUGGCACAGGGGAUGAAAACCAUUCUGGGUAGCAUGAAACUGCCAGAGAACGAUACCCAAGGGGGAUAAACAUUAAUGAAUCUUUAGAUGUGGAUAGGUCCAAUUGAAAGCUAACUGAAUAUAUGCUCCCUGCUGACAGCAAUAUCCUACAUAUCCUACCACCAUCAUCAAAACUGCUAGUGUGACAACUAAAGACACAUCUCUUCUCAAAGCAGUAAAAUCUUAAGUAAAACUGUUAAGGUCACUGAAUUAACAAGGAGGUCUCACUGUAACAAAAAAAAACACACAGAAAACAUUGGGACACACCAUGCUUAGUGAUGCUGAACCGGUGGCUAUCAGGCAGGUCCACUAUUUGCCUGCUUCUGGAUCUCCUUAUUCCUUGCCUUUUGAUAACAAAUAAAAGCAUUAAAUUCUGCAAAAUCAGACUCCACAAUUUUACAUCAAAGCUUAUGGACACCUUGGGACAAUUCAUAUUUCUGGUGAGCAAGAGGAAGGCAUAAUUUACUGCAGAGGUCAACAGCUGCUUCCAGCAUCAUCUGAAAACAUGCCAGCGGGCAAGGCCUCAGGCAGCUCAGAUCCAAGAUUAAGGACAAACAGAUUAAGAUAGAUGCAACACUGCUGUGUCCUGUUGCUCUAAUCCCUAUUCUAGUCCGAGGUACUCAGGUACAAUUCAAGCUGAAUGCACAUAUUUGCAGUUCACCCACAUGGACAUGACACAGUUGUGUUACCUAUAUAUUUAUAGCAUGAGAAAAUGACCAUUUACAUAGACAGUCAUCCAGAAUUUGAUUUUGCACAUACAUGGCAGCACAAAAAUGUAUUUCCCAAGGAGGAUAUUGUGGGGAAAUAAAAAAAAAAGGAGAAGAAAAUAAAUAAAAUGCCAUUUCAAAUUUAACACUCAAUUUUCUCAAAUAAUUGGCCUGUUUUGUUGUUGUUUUGGGGUUUUUUUGUUGUUGUUGUUUUGUUUUUGGUUAAGAAAUACCUAUUAAAUUCAAAUCAGAUGGGAAGAGAACUGCCUACUUAUUCAGGAGAGAAUCCAGCUGUUACAUACGCAAGCUAUCUUGAAAACCUUCAGUUGUCAGUUUAUAAACCAGGUCAAAGCUGUCAGGGAUUAGAUAUAAAAGCAUAAAAGAAAAAGGAUCCUGUUAGUGAACUCCACCAGGAGUGACUACCGUUUAAGAAAGUACUCAUAGGAGAUAUCAGCCCUGUAUUUUCAGUUUGCUUCACCAAAGUAUCACCAUCUCCAAAGGCUGAGAAGUCAAGGCAAAGUGUACAGUGACAGAGGUAUGGGAAAUACUUUUUGUUUUCUGACAACCACCGACAACUAUUUCAUCCACUUAUCAUCAUAUUUCAUCUUCUGAUAACUUUACAUGAUGUUUUUUACAGACCACAUGAAAUACUACUUCAGAAUUGUUUGGAGAACAAUAG
ensembl:lncRNA